rnacentral:tRNA from 1 species
GCCCGGGUGGUGAAAUCGGUAGACACACAGGAUUUAAAAUCCUGCGACCUAAACAGUCGUGCCGGUUCGAUUCCGGCCCCGGGCACCA